GUACUACUGAAGAGUCCCAUACUAGAACGAAAUGGCUGUUCAGUAC
rnacentral:hammerhead_ribozyme from 1 species